rnacentral:rRNA from 1 species
UACGGAGGGUGCGAACGUUAAUCGGAAUCACUGGGCGUAAAGCGCGCGUAGGCGGUCUGUUAAGUGGGAUGUGAAAUCCCCGGGCUUAACCUGGGAAUUGCAUUUCAAACUGGCCGACUAGAGUACGGUAGAGGGAGGUAGAAUUUCCUGUGUAGCGGUGAAAUGCGUAGAUAUGCGGAGGAACACCGAUGGCGAAGGCAAUCCCCUGGGCCUGCACUGACGCUCAUGCACGAAAGCGUGGGGAGCAAACAGG